UUGGUGCUUGCAUCAUGAUUUACAUUUGAGUGAGUGGCGAACUGGUGAGUAACACGUGGGAAACCUGCCCAGAAGCGGGGGAUAACACCUGGAAACAGAUGCUAAUACCGCAUAACAACUUGGACCGCAUGGUCCGAGUUUGAAAGAUGGCUUCGGCUAUCACUUUUGGAUGGUCCCGCGGCGUAUUAGCUAGAUGGUGAGGUAACGGCUCACCAUGGCAAUGAUACGUAGCCGACCUGAGAGGGUAAUCGGCCACAUUGGGACUGAGACACGGCCCAAACUCCUACGGGAGGCAGCAGUAGGGAAUCUUCCACAAUGGACGAAAGUCUGAUGGAGCAACGCCGCGUGAGUGAAGAAGGGUUUCGGCUCGUAAAACUCUGUUGUUAAAGAAGAACAUAUCUGAGAGUAACUGUUCAGGUAUUGACGGUAUUUAACCAGAAAGCCACGGCUAACUACGUGCCAGCAGCCGCGGUAAUACGUAGGUGGCAAGCGUUGUCCGGAUUUAUUGGGCGUAAAGCGAGCGCAGGCGGUUUUUUAAGUCUGAUGUGAAAGCCUUCGGCUCAACCGAAGAAGUGCAUCGGAAACUGGGAAACUUGAGUGCAGAAGAGGACAGUGGAACUCCAUGUGUAGCGGUGAAAUGCGUAGAUAUAUGGAAGAACACCAGUGGCGAAGGCGGCUGUCUGGUCUGUAACUGACGCUGAGGCUCGAAAGUAUGGGUAGCAAACAGGAUUAGAUACCCUGGUAGUCCAUACCGUAAACGAUGAAUGCUAAGUGUUGGAGGGUUUCCGCCCUUCAGUGCUGCAGCUAACGCAUUAAGCAUUCCGCCUGGGGAGUACGGCCGCAAGGCUGAAACUCAAAGGAAUUGACGGGGGCCCGCACAAGCGGUGGAGCAUGUGGUUUAAUUCGAAGCUACCCGAAGAACCUUACCAGGUCUUGACAUACUAUGCAAAUCUAAAAGAUUAGACGUUCCCUUCGGGGACAUGGAUACAGGUGGUGCAUGGUUGUCGUCAGCUCGUGUCCUGGAAAUGUUGGGUUAAGUCCCGCAACGAA
rnacentral:rRNA from 1 species